rnacentral:tRNA from 1 species
GCUUCCGUAGCUCAGUUGGUUAGAGCAGCUGACUCUUAAUCAGCGGGUCACCGGUUCGAGUCCGGUCGGGAGCACCA